AUGUGGACUCUCGGGCGCCGCGCACUAGCCGGCCUCUUGGCGUCCCCCAGCCCAGCCCAGGCCCAGACCCUCACCCGGGUCCCGCGGCCGGCAGAGUUGGCCCCACUCUGCAGCCGCCGGGGCCUGCGCACCGGCAUCGCUGCGACCUGCACGCCCCGCCAUGCAAGUUCGAACCUCCAUGGUCUCAACCAGAUUCGGAAUGUCAAAAAGCAGAGUGUCUAUUUGAUGAAUUUGAGGAAAUCCGGAACUUUGGGCCACCCAGGCUCUCUAGAUGAGACCACCUAUGAAAGACUAGCAGAGGAAACGCUGGACUCUUUAGCAGAGUAUUUUGAAGACCUUGCAGACAAGCCAUACACGUUUGAGGACUAUGAUGUUUCCUUUGGGAGUGGUGUCUUAACUGUUAAACUAGGUGGAGAUCUAGGAACCUACGUGAUCAACAAGCAAACGCCAAACAAGCAAAUCUGGCUAUCUUCUCCAUCCAGUGGACCUAAGCGUUAUGACUGGACUGGGAAAAACUGGGUGUACUCCCACGACGGCGUGUCCCUCCAUGAGCUGCUGGCCGCAGAGCUCACUAAAGCCUUAAAAACCAAACUGGACUUGUCUUCCUUGGCCUAUUCCGGAAAAGAUGCUUGAUGCCCAACCCAGUUUUAAGGACAUUAAAAGCUAUCAGGCCAAGACCCCAGCUUCAUUAUGCAGCUAAGGUUUACAACAUGCUUUAUCCAGCUAUACCUGCCCCAAAUUCUGACAAAUGCUUUUGCCACCUCUAAAGGAAGACCCAUGUUCAUAAUGAUGGAGUUUGUGUGGAUUAACCAUGCAAGGUUGCGAAGGAAAAAUCGCUUUACACUUCCAAGAUGUUAUAUGGAAUUGCUGGAGUAUGAGAAGAGCUUCUUCAUCCCAACAGCUUUCAGAGUGAAGCGGCAGCUCAUGCCUGUAAUCCCAGCACUUUGAGAGGCAGAGGUAGGUGGUUCACUUGAGGUCAGGAGUUUGAGACCAGCCUGGCCAACAUGGUGAAACCUCAUCUCUACUAAAAAUACAAAAAUUAGCUGGGUGUGGUGGUGCACACCUGUAAUCCCAGCUACUCAGGAGGCUGAGGCAGGAGAAUCACUUGAGCCUGUGAGGUGGAGGUUGAAGUGAGCCAAGAUCAUGCCCCUGCACUCCAGCCUGGGUAACAAAGCAAGAUUCUGUCUCAAAAAAAAAAAAAAAAAAAGGUGAACCUCUGGGUUCCCCAGAUCUUUUCAGAGAUAUGUAAUGUUCUCCUUUUUCCAACUACAUAACUCUUUAAGCUGGGUUUUCUUCAUAUACUCCAAUGAAAACAACAUAUUGCAACAGAUGGAAUGAAGAGGCACGUAGAAGAAUCCAGCUGUUUUCUAUUAAGCCAAACAUUACAGUUGUCAGCUGAAGAAUUCUGAGAUUCAUAAAUUUGGAAAGAAAAGCUUCAUUUCUCAUAAAAGAUUGCAGCCUGCAGGGCGGCCAUUCUGACAGGCUAAGAAAUGUAGCCUCUGGCCAGAAGCCAAAAACAGACGCUGAGGGUCAGAAGAAUAAGAUGGGCAUUUAUGCUGAAUAGGAUGGCCAAAUAUACAUAUUCAAUAAACUACAGGAGGAGUCAUGAAUAUUCAUGAAAGGAGAAACAUGCACAUGCUCAACUGAGCUUCAUGCCUCUCCAUGGGACAUGUGUGCAAAAAAUGACAGCAUUAGCAUGAUUAGAGGGUGGAGUUUUCUGUCCUCUGACAUCAAAAGGUGAAACAGAGGACACAGAAACCCUCACUGCACAUCCUCUGUAAACUGGCCAGAACCACUCCAUUGUGGGCAGUCUGUUAUCAGGAAGGAAUGCUGGUUAGUUGUGCAGAAACUGCAGAAACUGCAAAAGGAAGGGGCAGUGUCAGACCAUUGGUUGAUAUCAGCGGUGCAGCUCGUCUUUCCAAAGGGCUGAUUUCUGUUUAACCUGUAGGAAGGAAAUCCUAAUGGCGUUUAGCAAUGGAGAGGAUAUAACAACACAUCAUGGCAAGAACUCAGUUUUCAAGGUUUCUCUGGGGUCCCCUUGGCCAAGAGGUGGCGCAUCCGUUUAGUCAGCUGGGGGACUUAGGAUUUCAUUUUUAUUUCUCAGAGUUUUAUAAAACUCUAAAAUAAUUAUUUGACAGCCAGGUGGGAGGGGGUCCCUGGAGAAACUCCAACCAGCCUGCCUACUAGGGUGGAGCCUCAGGAGUUUGCAGCAGGGAGGAGCCUGGCGCCUCCUCUUCCUAUGUGAACCUGGGAUUCUAGCAGCCUGGUGGGAAGCACUCUAGCAGGAGACUCUGGCCUUGCGGAGGAUCCCUGUUCCCCUCACCCCUUUAUUUCCCCUUUUCACUUAAUAAAACCCUGCUUUACUCACCCUUUAAACCAUCUGCAAGCCUAAAUUUUUGUGGCUGUGGGAUAGACAAGAACCUUAUCUUUAGCUGAACUAAGGAAAAGUCCUGCAAUGAUCCUAUUCUUCACACCAAAUAUGUUUUGUUUCAAAACUAUAGUUAUUUAUCAUAAAUAUGUCGUUCAUAUUGUUAAAUCAAAUUUUGCCUAAAGCUGCCUCCUUACAUAGUUUAAGCUUGACCUAAAGGUUUCUCUGUACUUAGUGAAUUGUAGCCUACCCAGAUGUGUAAACAAGACUGUGGCCUACUCUUGUGACAAUCAUUGGAUUUUGGCCAAUCAAAGGAGGUCAACUCUUGACACUGCUUUCAAAUAAGGCAAAUAUUGAGCUGUAACCAAUCUGGCUGUUGCUAUACCUCACUUCUGUUUUCUGUACGCCACUUUUCUUUCUGUGUCCAUAAAUCUUCUUCCACCACGUGGCUGUGCUGGAGUCUCUGAGCCUACUCUGGCUGAGGAGGCUGCCCAAUUCUCAAACUGUUCAAUUAAACUCGGUUAAAUUUAAUUUGUCUAAGGUUUUCUUUUAACCGUAUAAACAGAUGUGUUUAUGAUUGUUAUGUCUUUUUUCUUUUCUUUUUUUUUUUUUUUUUUUUUUUUUGAGACAAGGUCCCACUCUGUCCCCCAGGCUGGAAUACAGUAGCAUGAUCACGGCUCACUGUAGUCUCGCACUCCCAGGCUCAAGCGAUCCUCCAUCUCAGCCUCCUGAAUAGUUGGGAGUACAAGUGCAUGCAACCAUGCCUGGCUAAUUUUUUUUUGUAUUUUUUGUAGAGAGAGAGUUUUGCCACAUUGCCCAGGUUGAUCUCGAACUCCUGAGCUCAAGUGACCCUCUUGCCUCAGCCUUCCAAAGUGCCGGGACCACAGGCAUGAGUCACCACACCAAGCUAUUAUUUCUAAAUUAAUGAACAGAUGAACAUUUUCAAAAUUUCUCAGUUUUAAUUUUAAAUAUGAUUAAAAGGAUAGAUAUAACACACAAACAAAAGCUCUUUGGAGUCCUCUAUAACUCACGAAUAUUAAGGGUCCUGAGAUUUUUCUUUAAAGAGAACCACUGCACUCUCCUAGCCUACUAGCUCUCCGCAAUCCAUCCUGGUUCUCCUCUUGGCAGGGGAGACCUGUUCUAGACCCUCAAGGACCCCUCAUGGCAUCCCGUAGCUAUUAUCUAAGGAAUCUUUCUCCAUUUGGACUUCCCAUUUUUUUCUUCCCCCUUUAAGAUCCCCUUAUUCUUUUCAUCUAAUUUUGUGUGCCACCUGCAGAGUCCUUCUUCUUCUUCUUCUCCUUCUUCUUCUCAGAGUCUUGCUCUGUCGCCCAGGCUGGAUUGCAGUGGCACAAUCUCGGCUCACUGCAGCCUCUGCCUUCCAGGUUCCGGUGAUUCUCCUGCCUCAGCCUCCUGGGUAGCUGGGACUACAGGCACCCACCACCAUGACUGGCUAAUUUUUUGUAUUUUUAGUAGAGACAGGGUUUCACAGUGUUAGCCAGGAUGGUCUCUAUCUCCUGACCUCGUGAUCUGCCCACCUCGGCCUUCCAAAGUGCUGGGAUUACAGGCAUAAGCCACCACACCUGGCGACUAAUUUUUGUAUUUUUAGUAGAGACAGGGUUUCGCCAUGUUGGCUAGGCUGGUCUUGAACUCCUUACCUCAGGUGAUCCGCCCGCCUUGGCCUCCCAAAGUGUUGGGAUUACAGGCAUGAGCCAACGCGCCUGGCCUGAGUCCUGCUUCUUCCAGAUCUGGUGCCCAGUCCUGACACCAGAAAAGGUGUCUUGUUCCAGACCCCAGGAGUGUUCUUGGAUCUUGCCUGGGAAAGAAUUCAGGGCAAGUUGAAGAGUAUAAUGAAGUUAAGAUAGUUAAUUAGAGGCUACUCAAUUACAGAGUAGGGCGUCCUCAGAAAACAAGAGGAGGAAAGCACUACCUUAAUGUAGUGCUUGCUUAUGUAGGUUGUAUAAGAAUUGUGUACUUUAUUACAAAGGUUUGUGAUCAGCUUGUGACAGGCUAUUGGUGCUGUUAUUUUCCUGAUACUAUUGAUUUCAGCAAGAAUUUAUGAGUACACUAUUAUAUUUAAAGCAAAACCUAUUCUUUAAGAAUGCUUUUUGUUCUUAAAAUACUGGGACAUUUCCAUAAGUUCUGAGUCUUUAGUUAGCAACAUUAACUCAUUCCCUCAAUCAUAAACAUCUCAUGACCAAGAGUGCCCAGUUCCUGGGAAAUGUAACCCAGCAGGUUUGGCUUUAUUCGGCCUUUAUUCAAAAUGGAGUCACUCUGGUUAGGACACCUCUGACAGUCCCUGGAAACCCAAAGGAACCCUUCUGUGUGGCACGGGGAAUGGAAGAAAGAAAGAGAUGAGGCAGGAAAAUAGGGUCUGGAGGCAGAAAACAUAAGCCGAUUCACACUUCAGCUAUGACAGGAAAUAUCCUCUCCAUAGGGCGUACGCCUGUAACUUUACUUCAUCCUCUUCAUUUACAUAGGACGUAUCCUAAGUAACCAAUGGAAUUGUCUAGAGGGUAUUUAAACUCCCAAAAAUUCUGUAACGGGGCCUUUGAGCCCCUAUGCUCGGGCCCGCUCCCACACUGUGGAGUGUACUUUCAUUUUCAAUAAAUCCCUUCAUUCCUUC